GACGAACCGUGCGAACGUUGUUCGGAAUCACUGGGCUUAAAGGGCGCGUAGGCGGGCACGCAAGUCAGGGGUGAAAGCCCACGGCUCAACCGUGGAAGGGCCUUUGAUACUGCGUGCCUGGAGGGAGGUAGGGGCGUGCGGAACUUCCGGUGGAGCGGUGAAAUGCGUAGAUAUCGGAAGGAACACCGGUGGCGAAAGCGGCGCGCUGGACCUCUUCUGACGCUGAGGCGCGAAAGCGUGGGGAGCGAACCGG
rnacentral:rRNA from 1 species